AUGCAACGUGAUACGUGACGAGUUUUGUAAACAAAUGUUGGUGUUUUGCUAGCCCUUAAAAGGUAUGCCGGUACAAGAGUCGUUUAAUUGAAGCUCCAGGAUGUUGUGUGAGGUCGUCCUGUCCUCACUUUGGUUCCUGUUUGUUAUCUUCUGGGUGGAGACGAUAAGUGUUUGGCUGUUUCUGUCAAUGUUCUACCAGGACCAGGCUUUUUACCACUGGGGAGAUGGGGUAUUUGCAGAUGAUCCUGGACAGAUGAUAUACAUGUUGAGCAGAGUUGAUACCAAUAUUCAGACGGAGAUGCAGACCUGAGAUGGAAAAAGAUCAAGAACUCCAUUUAAAGGACUCAAAAGAGGCUGGUGCAGUUUUUGACUGAAGAACAAAUGAUGGAAAGCAGUAGCAGUUUUUGCUUUGCAUUGACUGCCUUGCACACUGUUGUGCAUAGUCCUUGUUAACCGCAUUAAAUGUAGGCCCCCUUUUAAUAGUAGGUGGUGGAGAGUUGCUGCAUGAGUGAAGGUAGAGGGAGGUGUGCAUCAUACCCCCAUAUGUCAGAUUUAUAUUUUCACUUUAACGUUUUGGGGAAGCAGAAUGAAUGUAGCAGAAAAUGCUUGGUUUGUUUUGUCUUUCUAUUAACUCCAUUUUGAGAAAAUGGUAUUUUUAUAAUACUGCUCUUCUAUGCAACUACAGCUGUUGUCGUCUGCAGCUAUAAUCUGUGAUACGAUAGGUAUGUGAAUGUUAAUAACAAUUGUCAGAUAUGUUGGUGUAUGUUUGAUGCCACAACCAUCAAGAAAGAGCAAACUUAGCUUUUAAUAUUGGAGAUGAUGGAGCCAUGUACUUGAGUUUAGAAACAAGUCUGAACACAAUGGAAAGAAGAUUUAAGAGUUCACAAUUUGCUCAAGGAGUAAACAACCUGUCAGUAGGUUAACAUUUGAGCUUAAAGCCUGAUUAUAAACCUUGGCAUUACUUUGUCCGCUUAAACAACAUCUUGUUGCCUUUAUCUGUGGAUAGAUUUUGCUUAGUUGUCAUGUGUAUCUCGAUAUAUUACCACUUAUUACAUGACUGAAAUUUCAUACUGAGGUUACAUGGUAACAUUUCUUUGGCAACUGCAAAAGCUCCAUCUGCUGUUGAAGAUCCAAUAUAUUUAAUAUAUUUUUUUCAAAAAGGAGCAACAUAUUCUGUAUACAUUAUUUGUCAAAUGCAAUAUGCCAAAACUAUCCAGAUGUACGACUACAUCUGUUCACAUUUUGCAGUAUGCAAGCCAGCAUGCUUCUCUGACAAGUUUACCCUCAAAACCCACACUCUGCGCAGCGGAUAUAAGCAAUAGGGUCAAAGUCAAGGUGCAAUAUUAUGACAAAGUAUUCUGUCCCAAUUCAAUGCAUACUGCAUGCAACAGUACUUUGUAAUGGCAGCUGCAAUGUACUAAAAGUAAAAAAUAAAAAGUGUGUGAUUUGUAACACAGCCCUGAUUUGUGUAUCUAAAGACAGGAAGCUAGUGGUGGGGGGAGUAUGCCCCAUUUUAGGAAUCCUCUCUUAAAGCAAUAUGUCAGUAUAAUAUCUAGUUAAUCAAAUAAAAGUGAAAUUAUACAUUUUAAAUACACAACUCUUUGCAAGCGUUUGAGAUUAUUGAUCUGCCGUGGUAUUUUUGAAUUCCUUCUCUGUCGACUAGAGGUUUGCUUUUGAACAAAAAAAAAACAGCAGAUAGUUUUGGUCUCAUUUUGAGAGAAAAAAAAGUGUCAACAUUGUUUUGUAAUA